AUACGAAGGGUGCGAGCGUUAAUCGGAAUUACUGGGCGUAGAGCGCGCGUAGGCGGUUGGAUAAGUCGGAUGUGAAAGCCCCGGGCUCAACCUGGGAAUUGCAUUCGAAACUGUCCGGCUAGAGUAUGGUAGAGGGAAGCGGAAUUCCACAUGUAGCGGUGAAAUGCGUAGAUAUGUGGAGGAACACCAGUGGCGAAGGCGGCUUCCUGGACCAAUACUGACGCUGAGGUGCGAAAGCGUGGGGAGCAAACAGGAUUAGAUACCCUAGUAGUCC
rnacentral:rRNA from 1 species